UAACGCGUAUGCAACCUACCCUGUACUGAGGUAUAGCCCGGAGAAAUUCGGAUUAACCCCUCAUAGUAUUAUUUUAUCGCAUGAUAAUGAUAAUUAAAGGUUACGGUACAGGAUGGGCAUGCGUCCUAUUAGCUAGAUGGUAAGGUAACGGCUUACCAUGGCUACGAUAGGUAGGGGGCCUGAGAGGGUGGUCCCCCACACUGGUACUGAGACACGGACCAGACUCC
rnacentral:rRNA from 1 species